rnacentral:rRNA from 1 species
AUUGAACGCUGGCGGCAUGCCUAACACAUGCAAGUCGAACGGCAACAGGGGGGCGAUUCUGGCUUCGCUUGGCAAAGGGGGGCGUGAUACAUCUGACCGUGCAAGGUCGUGGGGGAUGGGGUAACCAAAUGGAAACUAAUACUACUACCGCAUAGCGUCGGAAGACGGAUGAGCUUGGGGUCUCGCGCCAUCGCAGUGGGCGAUGUCCGAUUAGGUAGUUGGUGGGGUAAGGGCAUACCAAGGCGACGAUCUCUAGCUGGUCUGAGAGGAUGACCAGCCACACUGGAACUGAGACACGGCCCAGACUCCUACGGGAGGCAGCAGUGGGGAAUAUUGCACAAUGGGCGCAAGCCUGAUGCAGCCAUGCCGCGUGUAGGAAGAAGGCCUUCGGGUUGUAAAGUGCUUUUGGCGGGAAGGAAGAGACUCUAGUUAAUACCUGGGGAUAAUGACGGUACCGGAAGAAUAAGCACCGGCUAACUACGUG